AUGAACGCUGGCGGCGUGCUUAACACAUGCAAGUCGAGCGAGAAAGUUCCUUCGGGAAUGAGUACAGCGGCGAACGGGUGAGUAACGCGUGAGAAUCUGCCUUUCAGUGAAGAAUACCUUCGAGAAAUCGAAGUUAAUACUGCAUACGUCCUAAGGGAGAAAGAUGGCUUUUAUGCUGUCGCUGAGAGAUGAGCUUACGUACUAUUAGCUUGUUGGUGAGGUAAAGGCUUACCAAGGCGAUGAUGGUUAACCGGCCUGAGAGGGUGAACGGUCACACUGGAACUGAGAAACGGUCCAGACUCCUACGGGAGGCAGCAGUGAGGAAUAUUGCACAAUGGGCGAAAGCCUGAUGCAGCGACGCCGCGUGGAGGAUGAAGGUCUUAGGAUUGUAAACUCCUGUUAAGUGAGAAAAAAGAACCUUCUUUAAUAGAGAAGGGUGAUGAUGUUAUCACUAGAGAAAGCACCGGCUAACUUCGUGCCAGCAGCCGCGGUAAUACGAGGGGUGCAAGCGUUAUUCGGAAUUAUUGGGCGUAAAGGGUGCGUAGACGGUUUAUUAAGUCCUUUGUUCAAUACCUCGGCUCAACCGGGGAACAGCAAGGGAUACUGAUAGGCUAGAGGGUGAGAGAGAGAAGUGGAAUUCUCCGGAGUAGCGGUAAAAUGCGUAGAUCUCGAGAGGAACACCAAUGGCGAAGGCAGCUUCUUGGCUCACUCCUGACGUUGAGGCACGAAAGCGUGGGGAGCAAACAGGAUUAGAUACCCUGGUAGUCCACGCCGUAAACGAUGAUCACUAGACGUUGGUUUUGCUUAGCAGAAUCAGUGUCGUAGCUCACGCGCUAAGUGAUCCGCCUGGGGAUACGAUCGCAAGAUUGGACUCAAAGGAUUGACGGAAUCGAUUCC
rnacentral:rRNA from 1 species